rnacentral:rRNA from 1 species
GUCGAGCGGAUGACGGGAGCUUGCUCCUUGAUUCAGCGGCGGACGGGUGAGUAAUGCCUAGGAAUCUGCCUGGUAGUGGGGGACAACGUUUCGAAAGGAACGCUAAUACCGCAUACGUCCUACGGGAGAAAGCAGGGGACCUUCGGGCCUUGCGCUAUCAGAUGAGCCUAGGUCGGAUUAGCUAGUUGGUGGGGUAAUGGCUCACCAAGGCGACGAUCCGUAACUGGUCUGAGAGGAUGAUCAGUCACACUGGAACUGAGACACGGUCCAGACUCCUACGGGAGGCAGCAGUGGGGAAUAUUGGACAAUGGGCGAAAGCCUGAUCCAGCCAUGCCGCGUGUGUGAAGAAGGUCUUCGGAUUGUAAAGCACUUUAAGUUGGGAGGAAGGGCAGUAAGUUAAUACCUUGCUGUUUUGACGUUACCGACAGAAUAAGCACCGGCUAACUCUGUGCCAGCAGCCGCGGUAAUACAGAGGGUGCAAGCGUUAAUCGGAAUUACUGGGCGUAAAGCGCGCGUAGGUGGUUCGUUAAGUUGGAUGUGAAAGCCCCGGGCUCAACCUGGGAACUGCAUCCAAAACUGGCGAGCUAGAGUACGGUAGAGGGUGGUGGAAUUUCCUGUGUAGCGGUGAAAUGCGUAGAUAUAGGAAGGAACACCAGUGGCGAAGGCGACCACCU